ACGUAGGUUGCGAGCGUUGUCCGGAUUUACUGGGCGUAAAGCGCACGCAGGCGGUCCCGAAAGUCGAAUGUGAAAGCUCCCGGCCCAACUGGGAGAGGCCGUUCGAAACUUCGGGACUUGAAGGCGGGAGAGGCAGAUGGAAUUUCCGGUGUAGCGGUAAAAUGCGUAGAUACCGGAAGGAACACCAGUGGCGAAAGCGAUCUGCUGGCCCGCCCUUGACGCUCAGGUGCGAAAGCUAGGGGAGCGACCGGGAUUAGAUACCCCGUUAGUCCUAGCCGUAAACAAUGGGCACUAGGUGUUGUCGGUAUCGACCCCGGCAGUGCCGAAGCUAACGCAUUAAGUGCCCCGCCUGGGGAGUACGACCGCAAGGUUA
rnacentral:rRNA from 1 species